CUCUUUGUAAAAAAAAAAAAAAAAAAAGUUAAAUUUUAAAGCUGGUUACAACAAAACUGAAAGAAAUCAGAUCCUUAUCUGACUGCCUACCUGGAAGCUGAUGGAAACGUCAAGGAAGAAUACUAUCAGGUGAAAGGUUGAUUUCUCUCUGCAACCUUUUAUUUAAUCAGUCUCUUAUUUCAAACAGAGUAUGCCAAGAAUUCCAUAGGUUCUCAGGAAACAUGGCUUAAUGGCAGUGAUGAUGGCACUCAGAGAUGCUAACAUCCUCAUCAUUUUAGACUAAGUAGGUUCAUUUAUCAGCCAGUCUUAAGAGACCGCUCAAAUAUGACUGAGGAUCUCAUACAGAUGCCUAAUUAAGUCUAUUAACAUAACGAAGCCAUGAAAUGUUAUGAAUUAAAAGUGCUCUAAACACUGAAAUCAUCCUAACAAAAAUAAACAAAAUAACCUGU